rnacentral:rRNA from 1 species
AGAGUUUGAUCAUGGCUCAGGAUGAACGCUGGCGGCGUGCUUAACACAUGCAAGUCGAACGAACCUUCGGGUUAGUGGCGGACGGGUGAGUAACGCGUGAGAAUCUGCCCUCAGGAGGGGGAUAACGGUUGGAAACGACCGCUAAUACCCCAUAUGCCUACUGGUGAAAUGAAUUUCGCCUGAGGAUGAGCUCGCGUCUGAUUAGCUAGUUGGUGAGGUAAUGGCUCACCAAGGCUUCGAUCAGUAGCUGGUCUGAGAGGAUGAUCAGCCACACUGGGACUGAGACACGGCCCAGACUCCUACGGGAGGCAGCAGUGGGGAAUUUUCCGCAAUGGGCGAAAGCCUGACGGAGCAACGCCGCGUGAGGGACGAAGGCCUCUGGGCUGUAAACCUCUUUUCUCAAGGAAGAAGAUAUGACGGUACUUGAGGAAUAAGCCACGGCUAAUUCCGUGCCAGCAGCCGCGGUAAUACGGGAGUGGCAAGCGUUAUCCGGAAUUAUUGGGCGUAAAGCGUCCGCAGGCGGCUUUUCAAGUCUGCUGUUAAAGCGUGGAGCUUAACUCCAUCAUGGCAGUGGAAACUGAAAGGCUUGAGUAUGGUAGGGGCAGAGGGAAUUCCCGGUGUAGCGGUGAAAUGCGUAGAUAUCGGGAAGAACACCAGUGGCGAAGGCGCUCUGCUGGGCCAUUACUGACGCUCAUGGACGAAAGCCAGGGGAGCGAAAGGGAUUAGAUACCCCUGUAGUCCUGGCCGUAAACGAUGAACACUAGGUGUCGGGGGAAUCGACCCCUUCGGUGUCGUAGCUAACGCGUUAAGUGUUCCGCCUGGGGAGUACGCACGCAAGUGUGAAACUCAGAGGAAUUGACGGGGGCCCGCACAAGCGGUGGAGUAUG